CCUACGGGCCGCACCAGUAGGGAAUAUUGGACAAUGGGGGCAACCCUGAUCCAGCAAUGCCGCGUGAGUGAUGAAGGCCUUAGGGUUGUAAAGCUCUUUUACCCGGGAUGAUAAUGACAGUACCGGGAGAAUAAGCUCCGGCUAACUCCGUGCCAGCAGCCGCGGUAAUACGGAGGGAGCUAGCGUUGUUCGGAAUUACUGGGCGUAAAGCGCACGUAGGCGGCUAUUCAAGUCAGAGGUGAAAGCCCGGGGCUCAACCCCGGAACUGCCUUUGAAACUAGAUAGCUUGAAUCCAGGAGAGGUGAGUGGAAUUCCGAGUGUAGAGGUGAAAUUCGUAGAUAUUCGGAAGAACACCAGUGGCGAAGGCGGCUCACUGGACUGGUAUUGACGCUGAGGUGCGAAAGCGUGGGGAGCAAACAGGAUUAGAUACCCCAGUAGUCA
rnacentral:rRNA from 1 species